rnacentral:misc_RNA from 1 species
GUAAUAUUCGCUAAACCCACUAAAAAAACCUAUUAUUUAAGCAGAGCUUAACUAGAUACAUCCCUUACAGGAAGUCUUUUGGCAGGUAGGCACCGGUCAGAGACAGUGACUUCCCUGCCAAGGCAACACAAGAAAUAGUUCACAGGGUAUAGAGUUGCUAAACUCGCUAAUGAUCCCUCCGCUGGUUCACCAACGGAGA